rnacentral:misc_RNA from 1 species
UUAAGUUCAGCGGGUAGUCCUACCUGAUUUGAGGUCAAGAUGUUAUUAAAUUGUCCCGGUAAGAGACGGUUAUAAGCAGGGUCCCAUAAAUUUGCUUCAAGGUCAAACGGCAUAGAUAAUUAUCACACCAAGUGACGGUCCACAAGAGAUCCCGCUAAUGAAUUUAAGGGGAGCAGACCAUCCACUGAAGGAAGCCAGCA